rnacentral:lncRNA from 1 species
AAAAAAAAAAAAAAAUGAAGUAUUUUGAAAAUCAACCACGCAAACAAAUAAAUCAACAAAUGUCCAGAACUUCCACAUAACCAAAUGCCAAGAAUUCACACUGAACUAACCAUCUGCUUCCAACCAAUAUAAUAAACACAAGAACCUGACAGUCAAGAAUAAAAAAGCUUGAGAUUUUCUGCAGCUAGGAAGCCAGCUGGACUGAAGUAUAUGGGUACAACAACACUUUAAGACUUUUCAAGUUCUAGUUUAUUUACAUAGACCUGCUUUAGCAGCAAAGCAAAUACAUUAUAGCAGCAAUUUCAAUUCAUUUGGAUCUUUCAAUGAAAAAUGUCCUUCAAACUAGUGAAAGGCAAACAGAAGUGUGUUUACAGAAGAUAACAUCAUGGAAGGAGUUAUUGACGAUGCAAGUGAGGAAGCACAGAAAUUCAUGAAUAAAACAGAAACUAACCGUGUAAGUGAACCAAAAAAAAAUGUAAGCCUCCAAGUGCUACAACAAGCAAAACUACCUUAAAACAAGCAUUUCAUCUUGAAUU